AUUCUACUACUCCUUUGGUCGUUUACUGUGAGAAAAUUAGAGUGUUCAAAGCGGGCGUUUGUUUGAAUAGAUUAGCAUGGAAUAAUGAUUGAAGGCUUUCGUGUUCGAUUUGAUUGGAUUGUUCAUGGAAGCAAGGUUAAAAGGAACAGUUGGGGGUAUUCAUAUUCACUAGUUAGAGGUGAAAUUCUCGGAUUUAUGGAAGAUGAACAGGUGCGAAAGCAUUUACCAAGGAUGUUUUCAUUAAUCAAGAACGAAAGCUAGGGGAUCGAAGAGGAUUAGAUACCCUCGUAGUCUUAGCUAUAAACGAUACCGACUAGGGGUUAAAACGAGGCGCUUGUGUCUCUAUAAGUACCUUAUGGGAAAUCACAGUCUGAGGGGUCCAGGAGGGAGAAUGGUCGCAAGGCCGAAACUUAAAGGAAUUGACGGAAG
rnacentral:rRNA from 1 species